AUAACUAUUGGAAACGAUGGCUAAUACCGCAUAAUAGCUUCGGCUCAAAGAGGGGGACCUUCGGGCCUCUCGCGUCAGGAUAUGCCUAGGUGGGAUUAGCUAGUUGGUGAGGUAAGGGCUCACCAAGGCGACGAUCCCUAGCUGGUCUGAGAGGAUGAUCAGCCACACUGGAACUGAGACACGGUCCAGACUCCUACGGGAGGCAGCAGUGGGGAAUAUUGCACAAUGGGCGCAAGCCUGAUGCAGCCAUGCCGCGUGUAUGAAGAAGGCCUUCGGGUUGUAAAGUACUUUCAGCAGUGAGGAAGGCGGAGUCGUUAAUAGCGGCCUCGUUUGACGUUAGCUGCAGAAGAAGCACCGGCUAACUCCGUGCCAGCAGCCGCGGUAAUACGGAGGGUGCGAGCGUUAAUCGGAAUUACUGGGCGUAAAGCGCAUGCAGGUGGUUUGUUAAGUCAGAUGUGAAAGCCCGGGGCUCAACCUCGGAAUAGCAUUUGAAACUGGCAGACUAGAGUACUGUAGAGGGGGGUAGAAUUUCAGGUGUAGCGGUGAAAUGCGUAGAGAUCUGAAGGAAUACCGGUGGCGAAGGCGGCCCCCUGGACAGAUACUGACACUCAGAUG
rnacentral:rRNA from 1 species